rnacentral:rRNA from 1 species
CUAACGCGUUAUUACCGAUGGGGUGACGCAUGGAGCAGAAUUUAGCCACUGAUGGAUGUGGCGGAUUGCGCGUAAGAUGUACAGGUGGCAAAUCCCCUGUACGCAUAUCUGAGACGCAGGACCUUUUGAGGGCUUCGGCCCAAAGAAGAGUAAUUCCGGUCUGUGCCAGGAAAAACCUCUAAGGGAGAUUUAUUUGUGCCCGUACCGUAAACCGACACAGGUAGACGAGGCGAAUAGCCUAAGGUGCUCGAGACAACUCGGGAGAAGGAACUCGGCAAAUUAACCCCGUAACUUCGGGAUAAGGGGAGCCUCCAUUUGUUAGUGUGAACAGCACAAAGCAUAAGGAGGCCGCAGAGAAAUGGCAGAAGCGACUGUUUACCAAAAACACAGGGCUAUGCAAACCCGUAAGGGAAAGUAUAUAGUCUGACACGUGCCCGGUGCUGGAAGGUUAACAGGAGAUGUCAGCGCAAGCGAAGCAUUGAAUCGAAGCCCCAGUAAACGGCGGCCGUAACAAUAACGGUCCUAAGGUAGCGAAAUUCCUUGUCGGGUAAGUUCCGACCUGCACGAAUCGUGUAACGACUUCUGCACUGUCUCCUCCCGGGACUCGGCGAAAUUGCAGUGUCGGUGAAGAUGCCGACAACCCGCACCUGGACGGAAAGACCCCAUGAACCUUCACUGUAUUUUGACAUUGGUUUUAGGCUUGACAUGUGUAGGAUAGGUGGGAGGCUUUGAAGCGGUGACGCCAGUCAUCGUGGAGCCAUCCUUGAAAUACCACCCUUGUCCGGUUUGAGAUCUAACCGUGGCCCGUCAUCCGGGUCCGGGACCGUGUCUGAUGGUCAGUUUGACUGGGGCGGUCGCCUCCUAAAUGGUAACGGAGGCAUCCAAUGGUUCCCUCAGCGCGGUCGGUAAUCGCGCGUAGAGCAUAAAGGCAUAAGGGAGCUUGACUGCGAGACAGACAUGUCGAGCAGGUACGAAAGUAGGGCUUAGUGAUCCCGCGGUACAGCGUGGAACGGCCGUUGCUCAAUGGAUAAAAGGUACUCUGGGGAUAACAGGCUGAUCUCCCCCAAGCGUUCAUAGCGACGGGGAGGUUUUGGCACCUCGAUGUCGGCUCGUCGCAUCCUGGGGCUGGAGAAGGUCCCAAGGGUUUGGCUGUUCGCCAAUUAAAGCGGCACGCGAGCUGGGUUCAGAACGUCGUGAGACAGUUCGGUCCCUAUCCGGUGUGGGCGCACGAAAUUUGAGGGAACCUGUCCUUAGUACGAGAGGACCGGGACGGACGCACCUCUGGUGUACCGGCUGUCACGCCAGUGGCAUUGCCGGGUAGCUAUGUGCGGAUUGGAGAAACGCUGAAAGCAUCUAAGCGUGAAGCCAUUCCCAAGAUUAGAUUUCGCGGGGGCAACCCCCUAAAGGAUCGUUAGAGACCAUAACGUUGAUAGGUCACAGGUGUAAGCAUAGCGAUAUGUUGAGCCGAGUGAUACUAAUAGUCCGUGAGGCUUCC